UUUGCUCGGAGCUCCACAACUCUAGCUGGAUCCCAGUCCUAUUGGGGAAGAGAAAAAGGAGAGAGCUGGCAUGGUCUAUGAACUGGUGCUUACACUCCAACUCUGGGGCUCCCUAUACCCAUUCAUGGGACCAGGGCCAGCCAGCUACUUGGAGAGUUUCACACUAAGGUAGAGAGACACCCCACCUUGUUUCAAUAGAGGAUCUUGACUUCAAACGCGACUAUAGCAAGAAUGCCUAACCACAAGGAUAGCUUGAGAGCUUUCCCGGGACCUGGUUCCACAGAGCUGAGGGAAAUUGAAAUCCGUAGAGAGUGUCCAUCCUGUUUGUGCCUCAGUUGGCCUUUGACUUCUGUCAUCAGAUCUUGGAUGUGGUGCCUUCUCUGCCUGCAGAUUCCAUGAAACCCCUCCUUAGCUUCCUCCUGGAUGCAGCACGAUGGGCCCAGGGAGAAGCCAUGAAGGCAGUGCUGUUCCCAGUUCAAGAGGUUCUGACCCCAGAAUCAGAUGUCUCCAUUGCACGUGUGCUGGCUGUCCGAGCUGACCUUUCUUAUCUGUUGUGCUAUCAAUAAGGUGCUUAUAGGAGCUGUCCCAGAUCAUGGGGGCCGACCAAAUGAGCUAGAGGCUCCAGUGCCCACCUGGCAGAGCCAAAGAGAAGGUGGAAGAGUGGGGAAGGCUCUGGAGCCAGAAGAAGAAGGAAAAGAAGAAGUGAAGGGGUCUGAGGAGGUUGGGAGAGGGACUUCUGUGAGAUGCGAUGCCUCCAGCCGCUGCAAAUGAAUUCUAGACGCAUGCGCCCCCUUGUGCAUCCAGCUAACGUGGGUCCUGGGGAAUCGGGCCUUGAACCGGGGUCCUUAGGCUUCACAGG